rnacentral:rRNA from 1 species
GUAGGGUGCGAGCGUUGUCCGGAUUUAUUGGGCGUAAAGGGCUCGUAGGUGGUUGAUCGCGUCGGAAGUGUAAUCUUGGGGCUUAACCCUGAGCGUGCUUUCGAUACGGGUUGACUUGAGGAAGGUAGGGGAGAAUGGAAUUCCUGGUGGAGCGGUGGAAUGCGCAGAUAUCAGGAGGAACACCAGCGGCGAAGGCGGUUCUCUGGGCCUUUCCUGACGCUGAGGAGCGAAAGCGUGGGGAGCGAACAGGCUUAGAUACCCUGGUAGUCCACGCUGUAAACGGUGGGUACUAGGUGUGGGGUCCAUUCCACGGGUUCCGCGCCGUAGCUAACGCUUUAAGUACCCCGCCUGGGGAGU